UACGGAGGACCCGAGCGUUAUCCGGAUUCAUUGGGUUUAAAGGGUGCGUAGGCGGAAUGAUAAGUCAGUGGUGAAAUCCUGCAGCUUAACUGCAGAACUGCCAUUGAUACUGUCAAUCUUGAGUACAGCUGAUGUGGGCGGAAUAUGACAUGUAGCGGUGAAAUGCUUAGAUAUGUCAUAGAACACCGAUUGCGAAGGCAGCUCACAAAACUGUAACUGACGCUGAGGCACGAAAGCGUGGGGAUCAAACAGG
rnacentral:rRNA from 1 species